rnacentral:rRNA from 1 species
GACGAACGCUGGCGGCGCGCCUAACACAUGCAAGUCGAACGAGAGAGAAGGAGCUUGCUUCUUCGAUCGAGUGGCGAACGGGUGAGUAACGCGUGAGGAACCUGCCUCAAAGAGGGGGACAACAGUUGGAAACGACUGCUAAUACCGCAUAAGCCCACGGGUCGGCAUCGACCUGAGGGAAAAGGAGCAAUCCGCUUUGAGAUGGCCUCGCGUCCGAUUAGCUAGUUGGUGAGGUAACGGCCCACCAAGGCAACGAUCGGUAGCCGGACUGAGAGGUUGAACGGCCACAUUGGGACUGAGACACGGCCCAGACUCCUACGGGAGGCAGCAGUGGGGAAUAUUGCACAAUGGGGGAAACCCUGAUGCAGCGACGCCGCGUGGAGGAAGAAGGUCUUCGGAUUGUAAACUCCUGUUGUUGAGGAAGAUAAUGACGGUACUCAACAAGGAAGUGACGGCUAACUACGUGCCAGCAGCCGCGGUAAAACGUAGGUCACAAGCGUUGUCCGGAAUUACUGGGUGUAAAGGGAGCGCAGGCGGGAAGACAAGUUGGAAGUGAAAUCUAUGGGCUCAACCCAUAAACUGCUUUCAAAACUGUUUUUCUUGAGUAGUGCAGAGGUAGGCGGAAUUCCCGGUGUAGCGGUGGAAUGCGUAGAUAUCGGGAGGAACACCAGUGGCGAAGGCGGCCUACUGGGCACCAACUGACGCUGAGGCUCGAAAGUGUGGGUAGCAAACAGGAUUAGAUACCCUGGUAGUCCACACCGUAAACGAUGAUUAAUAGGUGUUGGAGGAUUGACCCCUUCAGUGCCGCAGUAACACAAUAA